rnacentral:rRNA from 1 species
AGUGAACGCUGGCGGUAGGCCUAACACAUGCAAGUCGAACGGCAGCACAGGAGAGCUUGCUCUCUGGGUGGCGAGUGGCGGACGGGUGAGGAAUACAUCGGAAUCUACUCUUUCGUGGGGGAUAACGUAGGGAAACUUACGCUAAUACCGCAUACGACCUACGGGUGAAAGCAGGGGAUCUUCGGACCUUGCGCGAUUGAAUGAGCCGAUGUCGGAUUAGCUAGUUGGCGGGGUAAAGGCCCACCAAGGCGACGAUCCGUAGCUGGUCUGAGGGGAGAGUCAGCCACACUGGAACUGAGACACGGUCCAGACUCCUACGGGAGGCAGCAGUGGGGAAUAUUGGACAAUGGGCGCAAGCCUGAUCCAGCCAUACCGCGUGGGUGAAGAAGGCCUUCGGGUUGUAAAGCCCUUUUGUUGGGAAAGAAAUCCAGCUGGUUAAUACCCGGUUGGGAUGACGGUACCCAAAGAAUAAGCACCGGCUAACUUCGUGCCAGCCGCCGCCGUAA